rnacentral:rRNA from 1 species
UUUGGGCAAGAAGACCCUAUGAAUUUUAAAAAUUUCAAUAAAAUACAGCAUUUUAUUGAAAUUUUUUAAUUGGGGCGAUUAUUAAAUAUUAAAAACUUUAAUUUUUUUAAAAAAGAACCAAUAAUAUUGGUUAUUUGAAAAAAUACUCUAGGGAUAACAGCGUAAUAAUUUUUGAUAGUUCUUAUAGACAAAAUAGUUUGCGACCUCGAUGUUGGAUUAGGAUUCUUUUUUAAUGAAGAAGUUAAAAAAAGAAGUUUGUUCAACUUUUAAAAUCCUACUUGAUCUGAGUUCAGACCGG